rnacentral:rRNA from 1 species
GAUGAACGCUGGCGGCGUGCUUAACACAUGCAAGUCGAACGAUGAUCCGGGUGCUUGCACUCGGGGAUUAGUGGCGAACGGGUGAGUAACACGUGAGCAACCUGCCCCUGACUCUGGGAUAAGCGCUGGAAACGGCGUCUAAUACUGGAUAUGUCCCGUCACCGCAUGGUGUGCGGGUGGAAAGAUUUUUCGGUUGGGGAUGGGCUCGCGGCCUAUCAGCUUGUUGGUGAGGUAAUGGCUCACCAAGGCGUCGACGGGUAGCCGGCCUGAGAGGGUGACCGGCCACACUGGGACUGAGACACGGCCCAGACUCCUACGGGAGGCAGCAGUGGGGAAUAUUGCACAAUGGGCGGAAGCCUGAUGCAGCAACGCCGCGUGAGGGAUGACGGCCUUCGGGUUGUAAACCUCUUUUAGCAGGGAAGAAGCGAGAGUGACGGUACCUGCAGAAAAAGCACCGGCUAACUACGUGCCAGCAGCCGCUGUAACAC